GGCAACAUGGUGUAGUGGUUGGAGCAUUGGGCUAUGACUCUAGAGACCAGGGUUCAAAUCCUCGCUUGGCCA